GAAGAACGCAGCGAAAUGCGAUAAGUAGUGUGAAUUGCAGAAUUCAGUGAAUCAUCGAAUCUUUGAACGCACAUUGCGCCCCUUGGUAUUCCAUGGGGCAUGCCUGUUCGAGCGUCAUUUGUACCUUCAAGCUCUGCUUGGUGUUGGGUGUUUGUCUCGCCUCUGCGUGUAGACUCGCCUUAAAACAAUUGGCAGCCGGCGUAUUGAUUUCGGAGCGCAGUACAUCUCGCGCUUUGCACUCAUAACGACGACGUCCAAAAGUACAUUUUUACACUCUUGACCUCGGAUCAGGUAGGGAUACCCGCUGAACUUAAGCAUAUCAAUAAGCGGAGGA
rnacentral:misc_RNA from 1 species